rnacentral:rRNA from 1 species
CUUGGUCAUUUAGAGGAAGUAAAAGUCGUAACAAGGUCUCCGUAGGUGAACCUGCGGAGGGAUCAUUACAAGAAUCGACAUUACUUUUGUUGGCUGGCGCACCAUGUUCUUGCGUCCAGACACUAUUCUGUGUGAGCACAAAGCUUGCUUUGGCGCCCCUGGCGCCAGAUUUAUGCGGACAUGCUGUUGAAUCUGAAAAAUGCAGAAAUUUAAAACUUUCAACAAAGGAUCUCUUGGCUCUUGCACCGAUGAAGAACGCAGCAAAGCGCGAAAUGUAGUGUGAAUUGCAGAACUUUGUGAAUCAUCGAAUCUUUGAACGCACAUUGCGCCCCUUGUUACAGAGGGGCAUGCCUGUCUGAGUGUCUUUUAAACCAUAGACUUUUGUCUGUUUUGGGCGUCGCGCUUCUGCGUCGCCUCGAAGCCAUUGCUGUCGAACGGACGAGAUCCUUUGGGACGAUGCCGCUAGACUUGAGAAAAACUUCUCUGACGGACCUCAGAUCAGGUAGGACUACCGCCUGAACUUAAGCAUAUCAAUAAGCGGAGGA